ensembl:lncRNA
UUCCAGAAGUGUGGUUUUAUUGGGAUCGUAUUAAAUUUACGAAUUGCAUCGGAAGAAUGUGCAUGUUUGCAGCUGUGGCGCCUCUUCGGGGCCCGGGGGUCAGGGUGCCUUUAACUUCAGCCUCUGUGGCAGCUUUCCCACGUUUCUGGCUAGGUUUAUGCUGGGAGCAUCUUCUCUCUUGCUGUCCUAGAUGAAAUAUCGUCUGCCACUCCAUCUCCUAGCACGCUGUGCUGUGAGUAGGUGUCUGAGAGCCGUGAGUUCUGGACGCUGAUCUCACAUGCACCACUCUACAGCUUUCUCAUUGCCUGUGGUCAUUGUCCAUGGGGCCUAUUGGAUUCUGCUGGUGGAAACCCACAUCAUCUGCACAGCCCCUGGGCAGCAUUCGCAGAGCCCCUGGGCAGCAUUCCCUCCCAGGCCUGACCUGCCGGAUCUCAUCGGGAGUUCCCACGGGUGGGAGGUCUCUGUGCCGGUCCCUGACACAGGCAUGGGGAUUCUACCGCUCGUCCCCUCCAGGACCAGGCUCCAGGGUGGCAAGCACAGAAUGAGCCCCAGGGCGGGGCAGUGGGUGGGUGGCUGCGGGGACUGGGGGCCUGGCAGGGCUCCCUUCCUGGCACUGUCCCUGCUGCCAGCUGCCAAGGACCGCUGCAGGGCGAUGGGGCUCGAGCAGGCGCAGCUUUGCCCCCCCGCCACCCCCACCUGUGUACUUGGGGAGGGACCCGCAGAUGCUGUGUCUCUCAUAGCCUAGGGCAGCCUCCAACCCUGCUGUGGGGGCCCUGGCACCAGGCACCACCCCUGCCUGGAGGGACUGGCAGGCAUGGGGACACGGGGGCGCUGGAGCGGGCACAGCCACUCAGGGACGCCCAUGCCUGGCCAGGAGGCCUGGGGGCAGGGGGUCAUGGGACCCCCCAAAAGACCUGGGCUUGGGGAAGAUGGUGCCCCCCGCCCUGUGAUGUAGGAGGGAUUUCUCACCCGAGGACUGUAUGUGUGCGUGGGGCAAACAGGGCGAGGAGGGCCUGUGUGUUUCUGGGACAGCGAGGGAAAGGCCUGACUCAGGCCAGGAUCCAGGGUAGCCGCCAGCACUCUCUACGCGAAGCCUCAGCCUGGCUGCAGCCUGGCCCCUCCCUGGAGGCCUCCCUCCCUCCUGCCCAUGGCCCCCACAGCCGCCUGACAGGACAGAACUCCUUAGCGUGCUCUCAUAUUUAAUUAUAAUUAUAAUAUAACAGAACCACAGGGAAGGGGGGGUCCCUUGUCCCAGCCACUCAGGUGCCCGCUGGCCGCCUGGAAGCUGGUGGCCCUGCCCCAGGAGUGGGGGUGCAGUGUGUGGAUGUGAGGAAUGGCCAGGCCGCGGUGGGGGUACUAGGCCGAGGAGGGGACGCCUGUACCUUCCCACCCAGGCCCUGGUGGGAGCCUGGCCAAACUCCUUUAAAUAAUUUCGUGAAUGGGUGCCAAGGACAGCCCCCACGUUGGGCAAAUGGGGGGGCCCUGGGUGCCUGCACCUCUGCCCUCAUAACACCCAGGUGGCCACAGCUGGGAGGGGCCUGAGUCAGCCCCAGCCCUGCCCUCCUGACCUUGGGACCCUAGGAUAUCCCUCUCCUGAGUGGUGUGAGGGGCUGGGGUGGCAUGGGGUGGCGGGAGGCCAGAGUGCUGACUGGGCCUGAAGGGCCUCCAGCUCUGCCUGCCCUCUUACUGCCUCAGUUUCCCUGCCCCAUAAAGGGCCUGAGAUGCUGCCUGGGCAUGUGUGAAGGUCUAGGGGUUUCCUGCCCCGCCCAGCACAGCCAGGAGCUCUUCUGGCCUUCCCUGAAAACUUCUCUAGGCCUGUGGGGAGCAAAUGACUCCCAGGGAGCCCCCAGCCCAAUGCACCUCCUACCCCUGUGCCCAGUCUUGGACCCUGCAUCCAGGGCGUCUCGGGAUGCCGCUGCCGGGGGCACCUUGGCUGCUCCAAGGCAGUUUCCAGCCAACCCCAAGUUCAGGCAGGAGGCUCCAGGGGCGGCAGGCAGGGCCGCAGCACCUUCAGCCCCGGGCCGCAGGCAGCAGCAGCAGCAGCAGAGUUUCAGGGAGCUGGGCACAGGCAGCUCUGUGCAGGCAGGACUUGAAGCAGUGACUGC